UUUCUAUUUGUAAAUUAUCCAGGGAUCUCCAAGUGCAUUUGAUAGUCAAGAUUUACUGUUGGCCAAUCUGUCCAAUACUACAACCUGCUUGCUAUAGAGUGCUACCUCUUGGCAAAUAAGCUGUUGCUACCUAAGAACUUGCACAUCAAGUUGUGGUAUAAACUCUCCAGAUGCCUGCAUGAGUAUAGAUAAUUUGGAGACAAGGAAGAGAAAGAGAAAGAAAGAAAAAUCCUAACAUCCAUUUCAGCUUCUCCUGUCACUUCCUGCUAAGUGGAUCUGGAAUUAAGAAAAAAGUAACUGGAAAAAAAAGAAGAAAAAAGAAAAAAGUAACUGGUCAAAGGAAGGACUGUCGGUAUUUGCCAAAGACUACACUGAAGGAAAAUUUCCUUUGCCCUGCUUCGUGUAUGAGCUAGAAGAAAAAUUUCAGGUUAUGACUAACAGUUCAAUACUGUACAGAAACAGACAAUGAGCAUCCUUUUCCCGUUCCUAACUUCAGAG